rnacentral:rRNA from 1 species
ACACAUGCAAGUCGAACGAUGAUGCUCCAGCUUUGUUGGGGUGGAUUAGUGGCGAACGGGUGAGUAACACGUGAGUAACCUGCCCUCUUCUUUGGGAUAACGGUCGGAAACGGCUGCUAAUACUGGAUAUUCACUCAUUGGCGCAUGUUGGUGGGUGGAAAGGUUUUUCUGGUGGGGGAUGGGCUCGCGGCCUAUCAGCUUGUUGGUGGGGUGAUGGCCUACCAAGGCUUUGACGGGUAACCGGCCUGAGAGGGUGACCGGUCACAUUGGGACUGAGAUACGGCCCAGACUCCUACGGGAGGCAGCAGUGGGGAAUUUUGCACAAUGGGCGCAAGCCUGAUGCAGCGACGCCGCGUGAGGGAUGAAGGCCUUCGGGUUGUAAACCUUUUUCGCUCAUGGUCAAGCCGCAGCUUUGGGUUGUGGUGAGGGUAGUGGGUAAAGAAGCGCCGGCUAACUACGUGCCAGCAGCCGCGGUAAUACGUAGGGCGCGAGCGUUGUCCGGAAUUAUUGGGCGUAAAGGGCUUGUAGGCGGUUGGCCGCGUCUGCCGUGAAAUCCUCUGGCUUAACUGGGGGCGUGCGGUGGGUACGGGUUGACUUGAGUGCGGUAGGGGAGACUGGAAUUCCUGGUGUAGCGGUGGAAUGCGCAGAUAUCAGGAGGAACACCGGUGGCGAAGGCGGGUCUCUGGGCCGUUACUGACGCUGAGGAGCGAAAGCGUGGGGAGCGAACAGGAUAU